rnacentral:rRNA from 1 species
UACAUGGGGUGCAAACGUUGCUCGGAAUUAUUGGGCGUAAAGCGCACGUAGGCGGUUUGUUAAGUCGGAUGUGAAGUCCCUCGGCUCAACCGUGGAAGUGCAUUCGAAACUACAGGGCUAGAGUUCUGGAGAGGAAGGUGGAAUGCUUGGUGUAGAGGUGAAAUUCGUAGAUAUCAAGCGGAACACCGGUGGCGAAGGCGGCCUUCUGGACAGUAACUGACGCUGAGACGCGAAAGCGUGGGGAGCAAACAGG